rnacentral:rRNA from 1 species
ACCUGACGCAGCGACGCCGCGUGGGUGAUGAAGGCCUUCGGGUCGUAAAGCCCUGUCAAGAGGGACGAAACCUCGCCGACCUAACACGUCGGCGACCUGACGGUACCUCUGAAGGAAGCACCGGCUAACUCCGUGCCAGCAGCCGCGGUAAUACGGAGGGUGCGAGCGUUGUUCGGAAUUACUGGGCGUAAAGCGCGUGUAGGCGGCCUCCUCAGUCUGGUGUGAAAGCCCGGGGCUCACCCCCCGGAAGUGCAUUGGAUACUGGGAGGCUGGAGUACCGGAGAGGAGGGUGGAAUUCCUGGUGUAGCGGUGAAAUGCGUAGAUAUCAGGAGGAACACCGGUGGCGAAGGCGGCCCUCUGGACGGAUACUGACGCUGAGACGCGAAAGCGUGGGGAGCAAACAGGAUUAGAUACCCUGGUAGUCCACGCCGUAAACGAUGGGCACUAGGUGUUCGGGGUAUUGACCCCCUGAGUGCCGCAGCUAACGCAUUAAGUGCCCCGCCUGGGGAAUACGGCCGCAGGGUUA